GACCCGUCUUGAAACACGGACCAAGGAGUCUAACAUCUAUGCGAGUGUUCGGGUGUCAAACCCCUACGCGUAAUGAAAGUGAACGGAGGUGAGAACCGCAAGGUGCAUCAUCGACCGAUCCUGAUGUCUUCGGAUGGAUUUGAGUAUGAGCAUAGCUGUUGGGACCCGAAAGAUGGUGAACUAUGCCUGAAUAGGGUGAAGCCAGAGGAAACUCUGGUGGAGGCUCGCAGCGGUUCUGACGUGCAAAUCGAUCGUCAAAUUUGGGUAUAGGGGCGAAAGACUAAUCGAACCAUCUAGUAGCUGGUUCCUUCCGA
rnacentral:rRNA from 1 species